AAGUCGUAACAAGGUAUCCGUAGGUGAACCUGCGGAUGGAUCAUUACCAAUUUCAACUAUUCAGGUUUUUUGUACCCGCUCGCUGUGGUCACCAAAACUGACCUCAGUGAUGGUGCAUAAACUGUCUAUGUAAAUGUUGAACUAGAUCAUUCAGCGUGGGAUUGUCUUCAGGGGGUGUAACCCCUGAGCAAACCCCACUCUGAUAUCCUUUAUAUAUAUAUACUACAUCAUGUAUAUACUACUACUACUACUACAAAACAACCAAAAAGUUACUUUUAAUAGGACUUAUACAAUAAACGGACUGGGUGGGUAAAAUCCCCAGUCUUUUUUAUACUAUAACUAAUUACAACUUUCAGCAAUGGAUCUCUAGGCUCUC
rnacentral:misc_RNA from 1 species